rnacentral:rRNA from 1 species
CCAGCCCGCUCAGACACUUAAGGAAUUGACGGGGGCCCGCACAAGCGGUGGAGCAUGUGGUUUAAUUCGAUGAUACGCGAGGAACCUUACCUGGGCUCAAAUGUAUGUUGACGUAUUCUGAAAGGGAUACUUCUUCGGACAAUAUACAAGGUGCUGCAUGGUUGUCGUCAGCUCGUGCCGUGAGGUGUCGGGUUAAGUCCCAUAACGAGCGCAACCCCUAUCAUUAGUUGCCAUCAGGUCAAGCUGGGGACUCUAAUGAAACUGCCUACGCAAGUAGUGAGGAAGGUGGGGAUGACGUCAAAUCAGCACGGCCCUUACGUCCAGGGCUACACACGUGCUACAAUGGCCGGUACAGAGGGCAGCCACUUGGUGACAAGGAGCAAAUCUCAAAAGCCGGUCUCAGUUCGGAUCGGAGUCUGCAACUCGACUCCGUGAAGUUGGAUUCGCUAGUAAUCGUAGAUCAGCAAUGCUACGGUGAAUACGUUCCCGGGCCUU